rnacentral:rRNA from 1 species
UGGGGGAUAUUGCACAAUGGGCGAAAGCCUGAUGCAGCGACGCCGCGUGGGGGAUGAAGGCCUUCGGGUUGUAAACUUCUUUUGCUCUGAACAAGGCAUGCCUUUGGGGUGUGUUGAGUGUAGGGGUUGAUUAGCGCCGGCUAAAUACGUGCCAGCAGCCGCGGUAUUACGUAGGGCGCGAGCGUUGUGCGGAAUUAUUGGGCGUAAAGGGCUUGUAGGUGGCUGGUUGGGUCUGUCGUGAAAGCUCAUGGCUUAACUGUGGGUUUGCGGUGGGUACGGGCUGGAUUGAGUGCAGUAGGGGAGGCUGGAAUUCCUGGUGUAGCGGUGGAAUGCGCAGAUAUCAGGGGGAAUACCGGUGGCGAGGACGGGUCUCUGGGCUGUUUCUGCCGCUGAGGAGCGAAAGCGUGGGGAGCGAACAGG